rnacentral:rRNA from 1 species
GUCGAGCGGUAGAGAGGCUUGCUUCUCUUGAGAGCGGCGGACGGGUGAGUAAUGCCUAGGAAUCUGCCUGGUAGUGGGGGAUAACGUUCGGAAACGAACGCUAAUACCGCAUACGUCCUACGGGAGAAAGCAGGGGACCUUCGGGCCUUGCGCUAUCAGAUGAGCCUAGGUCGGAUUAGCUAGUUGGUGAGGUAAUGGCUCACCAAGGCGACGAUCCGUAACUGGUCUGAGAGGAUGAUCAGUCACACUGGAACUGAGACACGGUCCAGACUCCUACGGGAGGCAGCAGUGGGGAAUAUUGGACAAUGGGCGAAAGCCUGAUCCAGCCAUGCCGCGUGUGUGAAGAAGGUCUUCGGAUUGUAAAGCACUUUAAGUUGGGAGGAAGGGCAUUAACCUAAUACGUUAGUGUUUUGACGUUACCGACAGAAUAAGCACCGGCUAACUCUGUGCCAGCAGCCGCGGUAAUACAGAGGGUGCAAGCGUUAAUCGGAAUUACUGGGCGUAAAGCGCGCGUAGGUGGUUUGUUAAGUUGGAUGUGAAAUCCCCGGGCUCAACCUGGGAACUGCAUUCAAAACUGACUGACUAGAGUAUGGUAGAGGGUGGUGGAAUUUCCUGUGUAGCGGUGAAAUGCGUAGAUAUAGGAAGGAACACCAGUGGCGAAGGCGACCACCUGGACUAAUACUGACACUGAGGUGCGAAAGCGUGGGGAGCAAACAGGAUUAGAUACCCUGGUAGUCCACGCCGUAAACGAUGUCAACUAGCCGUUGGAAGCCUUGAGCUUUUAGUGGCGCAGCUAACGCAUUAAGUUGACCGCCUGGGGAGUACGGCCGC